rnacentral:rRNA from 1 species
CUUGGUCAUUUAGAGGAGUAAAAGUCGUAACAAGGUUUCCGUAGGUGAACCUGCGGAAGGAUCAUUAUCGAAAUUAUUGGUGAGGGUUGUAGCUGGCCUUUCGAGGCAUGUGCACGCUCGAGCCCUUAAUCCACUUUACACCUGUGCACUUAAUGUAGGUCGCCCUUAAAAAAGGUGACCUAUGUCUUAUCAUCAACCCAUCGUAUGUCUCAUAGAAUGUAAUCGAUAUCCUCGCCCUAAAAAAGCGUUGAUAAACUUAUACAACUUUCAACAACGGAUCUCUUGGCUCUCGCAUCGAUGAAGAACGCAGCGAAAUGCGAUAAGUAAUGUGAAUUGCAGAUUUUCAGUGAAUCAUCGAAUCUUUGAACGCACCUUGCGCUCCUUGGUAUUCCGAGGAGCAUGCCUGUUUGAGUGUCAUUAAAUUCUCAACUCCAAGGGUUUCACGACCUUUCGGAGAUUGGACUUGGAGGUGCUGGCCGCAUAUUGGUCGGCUCCUCUCAAAUGCAUCAGCGGAAUUCAACCUUUGGCUUCCGGAUGUCAGUGUGAUAAUCAUGUUGCGCUGUCGUUUGAUCCCUCAGAGUCCGCUUAUAAUGGUCUUCGGACAAAAUCAUCAUCAAAUUUGACCUCAAAUCAUGUAGGACUACCCGCUGAACUUAAGCAUAUCAAUAAGCGGAGGA